GCUUUCAGUAUUUAAAUGUGAUUCUUGUUCCAAUGUUAGCGUCGAUGCCUGAGAGGGCAUUAUCCGGUCUCUACCGUAUCGAUGUCCCUUUUUCAAGAAUAUAACGUUAAUUAGUGCUUAAUACCGCACUCACCACGGCCAUCGUCGGUGGCCCCGUUUCUUCAUGCAUUGCUGUGAUUCACGAGGCAGCUCCGAAAGAUUGC
rnacentral:lncRNA from 1 species